rnacentral:tRNA from 1 species
GGGGAAUUAGCUCAGUCUGGUUUCAGAGCAUCUGGUUUGCAACCAGAAGGUCAAGGGUUCGAAUCCCUUAUUCUCCAC